GAUGAAGAACGUAGCGAAAUGCGAUAAGUAGUGUGAAUUGCAGAAUUCAGUGAAUCAUCGAAUCUUUGAACGCACAUUGCGCCCCUUGGUAUUCCAUGGGGCAUGCCUGUUCGAGCGUCAUUUGUACCUUCAAGCUCUGCUUGGUGUUGGGUGUUUGUCUCGCCUCUGCGUGUAGACUCGCCUUAAAACAAUUGGCAGCCGGCGUAUUGAUUUCGGAGCGCAGUACAUCUCGCGCUUUGCACUCAUAACGACGACGUCCAAAAGUACAUUUUUACACUCUUGACCUCGGAUCAGGUAGGAAGACCCGCUGAACUUAAGCAUAUCAAUAAGCGGAGGA
rnacentral:misc_RNA from 1 species